rnacentral:tRNA from 1 species
GCGGCCUGGGCGGGGUGUUGAGCAGCCAGGCCGACUCGGCGUGGCGGCAGGCGCUGCGCGGUGCGACGCCGGAGGCCGCG